CCUACGGGUGGCAGCAGUGAGGAAUAUUGGUCAAUGGACGAGAGUCUGAACCAGCCAAGUAGCGUGAAGGAUGACUGCCCUAUGGGUUGUAAACUUCUUUUAUAUGGGAAUAAAACGUUCCACGUGUGGGAUUUUGUAUGUACCAUAUGAAUAAGGAUCGGCUAACUCCGUGCCAGCAGCCGCGGUAAUACGGAGGAUCCGAGCGUUAUCCGGAUUUAUUGGGUUUAAAGGGAGCGUAGGUGGAUUGUUAAGUCAGUUGUGAAAGUUUGCGGGUCAACCGUAAAAUUGCAGUUGAAACUGGCAGUCUUGAGUACAGUAGAGGUGGGCGGAAUUCGUGGUGUAGCGGUGAAAUGCUUAGAUAUCACGCAGAACUCCGAUUGCGAAGGCAGUUCACUGGACUGCAACUGACACUGAGGCUCGAAAGUGUGGGUAUCAAACAGGAUUAGAUACCCCUGUAGUC
rnacentral:rRNA from 1 species